rnacentral:rRNA from 1 species
UUAGUCAAUGCUCGCAAGAGUGAACUAGCUAACUGAAUUCAUACUUGUGUCAAGUGUGAUAACGUAAGGGAAGAUAAUGACAUUACCUUACUAUUAGUGUUGUCCAAAACUGGUGCCAGAAGACUCGGUAAGGCCAGAGACGCGAACGUUAAUCGUCCUAAUCAGGCGUAAAGGGUGUGUAGGCAGCUUUAAAAUUUUUCUUUAUUACUUAAAUUCUUUUUAUAUUAUAUUUAAAAAUCUAAAUUUAUUUAAUGUAGACUAAUUAAGAAUAAAUUGAUAAUGAUAAAUUAUUUAAUUAUUAAAAAUUAAUUAAAGUAGAGAUAAAAUAAAUAAAAGCUAGAAUCAAAUAGAGGAUAUUUAAAUAAUACUUAGAGGAGGGGUGAUAUCCUUAGAUACUAAGUAGAAUAUUAAUGGUGAAAGCUUUUAUCUACUAAUGAUUGACGCUGAGAAACGAAGGUGAGGAUAGGAAAUAGGAUUAGAUACCCAGAUACCCCUCUCUGUCAACGAUGAAUGGUGGUUGCUAAUUAUAUAAAUUAAUUGGUGGCGAUGUUAACACGAUAACCAUUCCGCCAUGUGAGUACGACUGCAAAGUUGAAAACAAAAAAAUUAGUCGGUCUCGAAGCAAACGAAGUGAAGCAUGUUAUUUA